UGCUUGGGAUAGCUCAGUCGGUAGAGCAUGGAACUCUUAAUUCCAAAGCUAUGGGUUCGAGCCCCACCUUUGGCAA